rnacentral:rRNA from 1 species
GAUGAACGCUAGCGGCAGGCUUAAUACAUGCAAGUCGAACGGCAGCGGGUCCAGCAAUGGAUGCCGGCGAGUGGCGCACGGGUGCGUAACACGUAUGUAACCUACCUUUAACCGGGACAUAACCUCGAGAAAUCGUGGCUAAUAUCCCAUAAUAUCCUUAGAUCGCAUGUUCUGAGGAUUAAAAUUCCGAUGGUUUUAGAUGGGCAUGCGCGACAUUAGCUAGUUGGUGAGGUAACGGCUCACCAAGGCUACGAUGUCUAGGGGGUCUGAGAGGAUGAUCCCCCACACUGGUACUGAGACACGGACCAGACACCUACGGGUGGCA